rnacentral:rRNA from 1 species
AUUGAACGCUGGCGGCAGGCCUAACACAUGCAAGUCGAACGAGUGGCGGACGGGUGAGUAAUGUCUGGGAAACUGCCCGAUGGAGGGGGAUAACUACUGGAAACGGUAGCUAAUACCGCAUACCAUCGGAUGUGCCCAGAUGGGAUUAGCUAGUGGGUGGGGUAAAGGCUCACCUAGGCAACGAUCCCUAGAUGGUCUGAGAGGAUGACCGGCCACACUGGAACUGAGACACGGUCCAGACGCCGACGAGAGGCAGAAGUGGGGUAUAUUGCGCAAUGGGCGCAAGCCUGAUGCAGCCAUGCCGCGUGUAUGAAGAAAGCCUUCGGAUUGUAAAGUACUUUCAUCGAGGAGGCGUUACUCGCAGAGGAAGCACCGGCUAACUCCGUGCCAGCCGCCGCGGUAAUUC